GAUGAAGAACGUGGCGAAAUGCGAUAAGUAGUGUGAAUUGCAGAAUUCAGUGAAUCAUCGAAUCUUUGAACGCACAUUGCGCCCCUCGGUAUUCCGUGGGGCAUGCCUGUUCGAGCGUCAUUUAACCCCUCAAGCCUAGCUUGGUAUUGGGUGCUUGUCCCGCCUCUCGCGCGGCGACUCACCUCAAAGUCAUUGGCAGCCCGCAUCUCGCCGGCCGUGAGCGCAGCACAGACGCGCUCUUGGCAACGACGGAUCGGCUCUCCAAAAGCUUAUUUCAACCACUGACCUCGGAUCAGGUAGGGAUACCCGCUGAACUUAAGCAUAUCAAUAAGCGGAGGA
rnacentral:misc_RNA from 1 species